AUGAACGCUGGCGGCGUGCCUAAUACAUGCCAGUCGAGCGAACAGAUGAGGAGCUUGCUCCUCUGACGUUAGCGGCGGACGGGUGAGUAACACGUGGAUAACCUACCUAUAAGACUGGGAUAACUUCGGGAAACCGGAGCUAAUACCGGAUAAUAUAUUGAACCGCAUGGUUCAAUAGUGAAAGACGGUUUUGCUGUCACUUAUAGAUGGGUCCGCGCCGCAUUAGCUAGUUGGUAAGGUAACGGCUUACCAAGGCAACGAUGCGUAGCCGACCUGAGAGGGUGAUAGGCCACACUGGAACUGAGACACGGUCCAGACUCCUACGGGAGGCAGCAGUAGGGAAUCUUCCGCAAUGGGCGAAAGCCUGACGGAGCAACGCCGCGUGAGUGAUGAAGGUCUUCGGAUCGUAAAACUCUGUUAUUAGGGAAGAACAAAUGUGUAAGUAACUAUGCACGUCUUGACGGUACCUAAUCAGAAAGCCACGGCUAACUACGUG
rnacentral:rRNA from 1 species